GUGGGGAAUUUUGGACAAUGGGCGCAAGCCUGAUCCAGCAAUGCCGCGUGCAGGAAGAAGGCCUUCGGGUUGUAAACUGCUUUUGUACGGAACGAAACGGUCCGGGUUAAUACCCUGGGCUAAUGACGGUACCGUAAGAAUAAGCACCGGCUAACUACGUGCCAGCAGCCGCGGUAAUACGUAGGGUGCAAGCGUUAAUAGGAAUUACUGGGCGUAAAGCGUGCGCAGGCGGUUUUGUAAGACAGGCGUGAAAUCCCCGGGCUCAACCUGGGAAUUGCGCUUGUGACUGCAAGGCUGGAGUGCGGCAGAGGGGGAUGGAAUUCCGCGUGUAGCAGUGAAAUGCGUAGAUAUGCGGAGGAACACCGAUGGCGAAGGCAGUCCCCUGGGCCUGUACUGACGCUCAUGCACGAAAGCGUGGGGAGCAAACAGGAUUAGAAACCCUUGUAGUCC
rnacentral:rRNA from 1 species